AAAUGCCAAUUUGAUUGGACCGGACUUAAGAUUUGAUGUAGUUCUUGAUGAGGACCCAUCAACAGACAUUUCUAUAUCUGGGUAUCAGAUUACUCCAAAUAUUCCUUCUGAAGACGAGAUUCUUCUACAUGCAUCGUCAUGUAGUUACCUCGGGAAUGAUACGUUUGUUACAUUGAGUAACAUUGACUGGACAUCAAUUGAUAACUCACGCAUUAAAACGCCAAGCCAAUGUGACAAUGUCGACCAGUGUAUCCCAAAUCCAUGCAAUGGCCACCGCUGCAUUGACUUAGUUAGAAACUACAGCUGCGACUGUAACAAUGGUUUCACUGGUGAGACUUGUGAGGUUCCCCCCGACUACUGUAGUGCAGCGCCGUGUAAAAACGGUGGUGUUUGUCAAAAUGGAAAAUACAAUCAUAUAUGUACAUGUUCGAAAUUGUACAAAGGGAAAAAUUGUGAAAUUCCUGUCGUGAACGGUGGUUGGAGUGCAUGAUGUGGUUUUUCUGAGUGCUCAGUGACAUGUAAUGGAGGCAUGAAGACGAGAUCUCGUG